rnacentral:rRNA from 1 species
CCUACGGGUGGCAGCAGUGAGGAAUAUUGGUCAAUGGACGAGAGUCUGAACCAGCCAAGUAGCGUGAAGGAUGACUGCCCUAUGGGUUGUAAACUUCUUUUAUAUGGGAAUAAAAUGUUCCACGUGUGGGAUUUUGUAUGUACCAUAUGAAUAAGGAUCGGCUAACUCCGUGCCAGCAGCCGCGGUAAUACGGAGGAGCCGAGCGUUAUCCGGAUUUAUUGGGUUUAAAGGGAGCGUAGGGGGAUUGUUAAGUCAGUUGUGAAAGUUUGCGGCUCAACCGUAAAACUGCAGUUGAAACUGGCAGUCUUGAGUGCAGUAGAGGUGGGUGGAAUUCGUGGUGUAGCGGUGAAAUGCUUAGAUAUCACGAAGAACUCCGAUGGCGAAGGCAGCUCACUGGACUGCAACUGACACUGAGGAUCGAAAGUGUGGGUAGCAAACAGGAUUAGAUACCCGUGUAGUC